rnacentral:rRNA from 1 species
GGUCAAGCUAUUAAGGGCACCCGGUGGAUGCCUUGGCACAAGAAGACGACGAAGGACGUGGUAAGCUGCGAUAAGCCUCGGGGAGGUGCAAACAACUUUUGAUCCGGGGAUUUCCGAAUGGGGUAACCUGAUGCAGGUCAUGCUGCAUCGUUUCCAGGUGAACACAUAGCCUGGACAAAGUAAACGGGGCGAACUGAACCAUCUAAGUAGCCCCAGGAAAAGAAAGCAACAGCGAUUCCCCUAGUAGUGGCGAACGAACGGGGAACAGCCCAAACCGCCUGUAUGUAUAAGCCUGCGCGCAUUGUACAGGUGGGGUUGUGGGGCACUGUCAGGCGAGAGCGCAGUAUCGCCGGGAAGUUAAAAAUUGACGGCAUAGCCGAAGAGUUCUGGAAAGUUCUACCACAGAAGGUGAUAGUCCUGUAGGCGAAAUGUCAGUCGACUUCCUGAACAGUGAUCCCGAGUACCAUGGGACACGUGAAAUCCUGUGGGAAUCCGGGGGGACCACCCUCCAAGGCUAAAUACUCUCUUGUGACCGAUAGUGAACCAGUACCGGUGAGGGAAAGGUGAAAAGCACUCCAAGAAGGAGAGUGAAAUAGUACCUGAAACCGUAUGCCUACAAGCAGUCGGAGGGCCCUCGGGCCUGACGGCGUGCCUUUUGCAUAAUGAGCCGAGGAGUUACUGUCUGCAGCAAGGUUAACUCACUAUGUGAGGGAUCCGCAGCGAAAGCGAGUCUGAACAGGGCGUCUUGAGUUGCAGGCAGUAGACCCGAAGCCAGGUGAUCUACCCAUGGCCAGGAUGAAGCGGGAGUAAAAUCUCGUGGAGGUCCGAACCGUUGAAUGUUGAAAAAUUCUCGGAUGAGCUGUGGGUAGGGGUGAAAGGCCAAUCAAACCUGGAGAUAGCUGGUUCUCCCCGAAAUAGCUUUAGGGCUAGCCUCUUGGCAAAGAGUCGUGGAGGUAGAGCACUGGAACGGCUAGGGGCCCCACAAGGUUACCAAACCGUACCAAACUCCGAAUGCCAUUGACUCGUUCCAAGGGAGUCAGCUUGCGGGGGAUAAACUUCGUAGGCAAGAGGGAAAGAACCCAGACCGCCAGCUAAGGUCCCCAAGUGCGGACUAAGUGAUCAAAAGGAUGUGAGAUUGCUCAGACAGCUAGAAUGUUGGCUUAGAAGCAGCCAUCAUUUAAAGAAAGCGUAACAGCUCACUAGUCAAGUGGUCUCGCGCCGAAAAUGUAUCGGGGCUAAGUCCGUCACCGAAGCUGCGGAUUCGCUUCUUCGUGAAGCGUCUGGUAGGGGAGCGUUCCACUGUAGGCCGAAGGCAGACCGUGAGGUCUGCUGGACGACGUGGAAGUGAUUAUCUCGGCAUGAGUAGCGAUAAGGCAGGUGAGAAUCCUGCCCACCGAAAGUCUAAGGUUUCCCGGGCCAGGCUCGUCCUCCUGGGGUUAGUCGGGACCUAAGCCGAGGCCGAAAGGCGUAGGCGAUGGAAAACAGGUCAAGAUUCCUGUACCACUCGCAGUGCGAUUGAGCUAUGGGGUGACGCAGAAGUGAAAGGUCUUCCAGCUACUGGAUGCUGGUCCAAGCCUGUAGGGGGACUGCUCAGGAAAAUCCGGGCAGUCAACUCCGAGAGGUGAUGGGGAGCCGUUCAACGGCAUAAACAGACCCUAAUCAUGCUGCCUAGAAAAACCUCUAUGCGAGCGCUGCGGGUGCCCGUACCGCAAACCGACACAGGUAGACGAGGAGAGUAUCCAAAGGUGUGCGAGAGAACCCUCGUUAAGGAAUUCGGCAAACUGAUCCCGUAACUUCGGAAGAAGGGAUGCCCUGAGUCGGUGAAGCCCCCCGCGGGUGGAGCCAAAAGGGGCCGCAGAGAAUCGGGCUGGGCGACUGUUUACCAAAAACACAGGUCUCUGCCAAGCCGCAAGGCGACGUAUAGGGACUGACACGUGCCCGGUGCGGGUAAGUUAAGAGGAGGAGUCAGCCUUCGGGCGAAGCUCUGAAUCGAAGCUCCCGUAAACGGCGGCCGUAACUAUAACGGUCCUAAGGUAGCGAAAUUCCUCGUCGGCUAAAAACCGACCUGCACGAAUCGUGUAACGACUUGGCCGCUGUCUCAACGAGGGACUCGGUGAAAUUGUACUUCCAGUGAAGAUGCUGGAUACCCGCGGCAGGACAAUAAGACCCCGUGAACCUUUACUAUAGCUUGGCAUUGGACUUUGACACUGUAUGUGUAGGAUAGGUGGGAGGCUGUGAAACCAGGGCGCCAGUCUUGGUGGAGCCGACCUUGAAAUACCACCCUUACCUUGUUAAAGCUCUAACCUGGGUCCCUUAUCGGGAUUGGGGACAUUGCCAGGUGGGUAGUUUGACUGGGGCGGUCGCCUCCCAAAAGGUAACGGAGGCGCCCAAUGGUUCCCUCAGCGCGGUCGGUAAUCGCGCGUAGAGUGUAAAGGCAUACAGGGAGCUUGACUGCGAGACCUACAAGUCGAGCAGGUGCGAAAGCAGGGCUUAGUGAUCCGACGGUUGCGCGUGGAAGCGC